AACGAACGCUGGCGGCAGGCCUAACACAUGCAAGUCGAACGCCCCGCAAGGGAGGUGGCAGACGGGUGAGUAACACGUGGGAACGUACCCUUCGGUUCGGGAUAACUCAGGGAAACUUGAGCUAAUACCGGAUACGUCCGAGAGGAGAAAGAUUUAUCGCCGAGGGAUCGGCCCGCGUCUGAUUAGCUUGUUGGUGAGGUAACGGCUCACCAAGGCGACGAUCAGUAGCUGGUCUGAGAGGAUGAUCAGCCACAUUGGGACUGAGACACGGCCCAAACUCCUACGGGAGGCAGCAGUGGGGAAUAUUGGACAAUGGGCGGCAAGCCUGAUCCAGCCAUGCCGCGUGAGUGAUGAAGGCCCUAGGGUUGUAAAGCUCUUUUACCCGGG
rnacentral:rRNA from 1 species